rnacentral:lncRNA from 1 species
GGCACCAGGACUUACGGUGAUCCGGUUCCAGCGGAGAGAGAACAGCAAACUUGUGAUUCUUGAACGGUGGUUCUGGCUGGUACACAGAAACUUCCAAACCUCGCAGCUGGGAAGACCAGAGGCUGGAGUAGCUGCUUUGGAGAACACAAAUGGCUAGAAGGAAACAACCCUCAGGAAAGAUCACUUGUUGCUGUUGUUACUACUAGCACAGCUGUUUCUGUGACUUGUGUUUUUAGGAGUCUCUCAGGAUACAGUCAAAAGAAAGGUCUCCAAAACAAAGUGCCUGAAGCAAGGGAUGGCACUGGCCUUGGUGAGUGUGUGUUCAUGUGUUUUUCCUCUUUUUUUUUUUUUAAACUUCUUUGAGAGUUUUCAACAUGUUCUGAUCAUAUUCUGUUCCCACACAUACCUCUUCCCAG